rnacentral:rRNA from 1 species
UACGGGGGGUGCGAGCGUUGUCCGGAAUCACUGGGCGUAAAGGGCGCGUAGGUGGUUUGAUAAGGGUGUGGUGAAAGUCCGGAGCUCAACUCCGGAUCUGCCGUGCCGACUGUCAAACUCGAGGGCUGUAGAGGCAGACGGAAUUCCGGGUGUAGCGGUGGAAUGCGUAGAGAUCCGGAGGAAGACCGGUGGCGAAGGCGGCCGCUGGGCAGUUACUGACACUGAGGCGCGACAGCGUGGGGAGCAAACAGG